rnacentral:rRNA from 1 species
UACGGAGGGUGCAAGCGUUAUCCGGAUUCACUGGGUUUAAAGGGCGCGUAGGUGGCCUGCUAAGCGUGCGGUGAAAGUCGGGGGCUCAACCCCCGAUCGGCCGUGCGAACUGGGAGGCUUGAGCACUGUAGAGGCAGGCGGAAUUCCGGGUGUAGCGGUGGAAUGCGUAGAGAUCCGGAAGAACACCGGUGGCGAAGGCGGCCUGCUGGGCAGUUUUGCUGACACUGAGGCGCGACAGCGUGGGGAGCAAACAGG